AUUUUGAGAACGAUCUUUUACUAGGAAAUUCUGUUAAUUUCUCAACCAUCCUUUGUUUGCAAUACUUUUAUUUCGGUCAUCAAGGGUAAGAGAGAGUCACAUGAAAGUCGUAACCGUUCUCCUGGACCAUAAAUGCCUCAGGGUGUCUGACCUUGAGAUUUCCUGAACUUGAAAUUUUCACAGGUGCUGAUCACUGGCUGCAAGAAAGGGAGGCCAGCUGUUAAACUUUGCUCUAUGGCAUAUAAAUGCAAAGAAAAAUAAGGAUUUCCAGAGGCUGUGAUUUGCAGGUAGCUCCAGUGCGAGACAGUGAGUAGCCAAUUCAAUGACAAUCUGUUAUGCGCAUUCCCUCUCUGCAAGCAUUUCAGAGAAAACAGUGAGAUAUAAACAAUGUGUUUUUUUGUAGAAAAAGAGGUGCUCACCAUGAACGCCUCCCUUGUUCUCUUAUAAUGGUGCUCACCUGAGAGGUGCCGUGACUGAGUUCUGGAGAGUUCUGGCUGAACAAAAGCCCUGGAUAUAAAUGUAAGAAAUGAUUUUCUUACUACAACAACAACAACACCAACACUGUGCUGGCUGGGGCUGCUUUUAAGCCUACUAUCAGAGUACAGAGUUUUGUAAAUGAAAACGGGGGGAAAGAACAGGUCCCAAUGUGAGAAACUUAACAAAAUACCGGUAUAUUUCCGUAGUAAGUAUGUGCAAUUCAUCUUUAACUAACUUUCAACUGCCCAAAACGAAAUAAUCCCAGCAAUUUUAAAAUUAAGAUUUGGGGUUCUUAAAGAAAAAAGACAUUCUGAAAUCCUCAGCAAAGCGAAUUCUGUGCAUUCAUCACAUUUGCAAGGACACUACUUAAUAUCUGCAGCUAGUACUUUAGAGCAGCCCUACUCCCCAACCUGGUUCCCUCCAGAUGUUUUGGGCUACAACUCCCAUCGUCUUCAGCGAGUGCUGACUGGAGCUGAUGAGAGUUGUGGUCCAAAACAUCUGGAGGAGGGCACAGGUUGGGGCACACUGCUGUAGAGAUACUGGCCACAGACAUGGAUCUUAUGUAAUUUUAUCAGGGCUGCUUAUUUAAGACUUACUUAGUGUUGGCAGAGAACCCUGCUAUUUAGACUGAUAUACAAUAUGGCUAGCUCUGGUUGCUGGUCAUGGAGUUCAGAGGAAUUGCCUUGCAUGGUCUGGUGGGCAAAGCAAUCUGGGAGUUUUGACAGAGGUUGUAUCACUUCUAACAGAUGCCAGUACCUGUAGGCUCCUUUACAUAACACGUCCCAUGCUCUUCUGUUGUCUCCAUGUGAUAGGGAUGGGGAACCUGUGGCCUCCAAAAUGGACUUCACCAGCAAGGCCAGAGGUCAGGGGGGAGAUGGAGUCCAAGAACAUCUGUUUUAUCCCUGAUUUUAGCUUUCCUCCUAGGAAAGGUGCUCUCACCCCCCACCCCCACCGCGACCAUCCUGAUCCUCUUUUCCACACGUUUUCCAGCUCUCCAAUUACAGAUUAUUAUCAGUGGUUCCCAAUUUUUCUGGCCAGCGUCCCCUUGGUUCCAUGAACUCAUCCUCAGUGCCCCUUGCCCUAUGAAAAGCAUCAUUCAGAACAGCAGUUUGCACAACCCAAUAAGGAACAUGAAAGCACAAUGAAAUUCAAAACAGUAACAAUUAGUUGCACGUUUAUUCAAAAUGCAAUGAAAACGAUGUACUUUAAUCCAGCAUAGCUGAGAGGAACUCGCUUUUCAAAGCCAGAGAGUCAUCGAUGUCUCCAGUGUCCCUCUGCCACCCCCUUGCCUCUUAAAGCGCCCCCCCCGGGGUAAUCCCCCCCAGGAGGGCAAUACCACCCACUUUGGGAACAACUGAAUUACAGUGGUACCUCGGGUUAAAUACGCUUCAGGUUACAGACUCCGCUAACCCAGAAAUAGUACCUUAGGUUAAGAACUUUACCUCAGGAUGAGAACAGAAAUCGUGCAGCGGCGGUGCAGCAGCAGCGGGAGGCCCCAUUAGCUAAAGUGGUGCUUCAGGUUAAGAACAGUUUCAGGUUAAGAACGGACCUCCGGAACGAAUUAAGUACGUAACCAAAGGUACCACUGUAUAGCCUUCUGAUCUCUUAACAAUUACCAUCAUCUGUCUGCAGACUCUUCACCCAUGAACACAAAAAUCUGGAAUUGGGGUGCUCCUAAGAAUGGCUGCUAAGCAGACUUGAGCCCCCAAGCCUGUUUCAUUUUUUUAAAAAACACUUCUGAGGAGCGUAUCAGGAUUUGCUGCUAGGUCUGUAACUUCAUCCAGCCCUGCUGGACUCAGAUUCCUCUGCCCAAGCAAUCUUUGCAGAGGCAACCACUGAUUGGCAGCUGUCUGCAUGGCAAGUUGAGGGUGACCCCUAGAUCAACCUUAUAUUCUCCCUCCCUCCCCAGCCUACCUCCCACCUCCUCACUCCCUCUCAACUUUACCCUGGUUGGCCUGUUGGCCCUUUCCCACCUGUCCCGCUAGGCUGAAGGGGGAUCAACAGUGUUGGCUUAUUUCAGCAGUGGUGUCGGAUAAGCCCUUUGGCAGAGUCCUCUCUCCAAAGCAUGUUGUACAAAGGUUACCAUCUUCUCUUGGCCCAAAGUCUCUUCUCCUGCUCUUUGAGAUGCUGGCGAGAGCACCCACCAGCUGCGCUUUCGCAAGCUGGUUGCAAUUUUGGGUUUGUUUGCUUUUCAUAUAAUUUUUACUGAAGUUUUAAAAUUAUAAAGACCAGGACAAAAUUACAGGAGGGAAAUAAGAAAAAGAGAGAGAAGGUAUUGAAAGAAAAGCAUUGCACAGCAUCCUCAGAGCAGACAUGGAACAUGAGCACAGCAGAAUAUUGUUGAGGAUUAACAAAUAUUUCUACAUAUUUGAAAAAGGAAAUAUCACGGAAAUAUGUUGAAAGCAAGAUGGAGCAGGCAAGGUGGAGCAGGCUCCCUCUCCACAGUGCAAGGUGAAACCUGGCUUUCCUAAAAAAAUCAUUUGUCUCUUCCGUAUAUACUUUCCUGUUUUUGUUGUUGUUUCUGUUAUUUUUGCUGUGUCUAUUUGUCUGCUUCACUUCAAUAAAGUUUCCCCCCCUAAAAAGAAGAUUAUUGCACACCUAAAUCUCAAUUCUUUUUAUGAAGCAUCAAGAUGAGGUGGAAGGAGGUUAGAUCAAUGAGUUCUCUGGGUAGUCUUUUCAGAUACCUGGCCAGGACCUUUCAUGUCAGGGGCAGAGGAGUGGGAGAAGGCAGAAGUGGAGCCCGCGAUUCACAGAGCAGCUCUGUAACUGCACAGCAGUUGUUACCCCAUCCUGCUGGGGUUUGGGGUCAUGGGAGAAGCAGGAGCAAUAGCUGGUGCCACUUCCAUGCAGAUUAGAGCAAUGCAGGUGAGGUCAGGACCCUGGGCAGCUCAGCAGAUCCUGCAGCCUGAGCUAUGAAAGAUGCCUCAAGCAGUGAGGGAAAGGAGCCUUUGCACAAACUCAGAGGCACUUUUCCCCCCAGCAACGUGAGAUGGGUUUUGCUUGGGAUCAAAUUUUUUGCAAGUGGGCUGGGAUUCCUCACUCCAUCUUUGCUUGCCUACUGACCAGUGUUUGUGUUUUGAUUGUCUAACUCAGAGCUUUCCAAACUGUGUGUCGUGACACAUUAGUGCGUCGGCUGCAGUGUCUGCAAAGGAGCACUGCUGUCUUGUCGUAAUGUGCUGAGCAGCAAAGGAGCCCAUUUCGAGGAAUUUUCAGAGGCUGGACUGUUUGGAAGCAGAAGGCUUUAUGAAACCUCAGCUGCCCCGCUGCUCCGUGCACAGACGGGGCAAUGAGAGACAGAUAAGACUCUACAUGACGUGCAGUCAUCUUUAUCUCACGUAUACAUGCUGCAGCCUCCUCCGACCCAGCCCCAUCUCUCACGAGCCAUUAGAACAAACACUGCCAGACCUCUCUUAGGGCAAUUUAAUUGCAGGCCACUGCCCUCUGUUCUGAUUGCAAGAUUUCAUCUACCUUAUCUGGGGCACCUUUGUGAUUAUGCUUGUUUGUGUUUCCCUUACCACCAUGGCUGGCGGCUUGCCCAUUUAACACAGUUGCCAGGCUGAGGCAAGCAAAGAUAAGUUUUUUCUCCAUUUUUAUGUACCCUUUUAACUUUAUUGACUCCUCUGAGUGAAGCUGUUAAUGGCAGUCCCUGACAUUGCUUCCAAAGGAGAAGAGAUAAAAUAUAUUAAUUGAAGAAACAGCAUCUUUCGCUGGGCUGGUUAAGGUUCGCAUUGAAGGACGUGAGCUUUCAGCUUUCACAGAACUCUUCAAAAACUCCUUGCAUGAAGAUGAGUUCUGUUAAACUUGAAAAUGUCCUUGCCAGGUUCCAAAAUGGCUAAAUCUGUGUGAUUGUUUGCUGUUCAUGAAAAUAGUGUAUGUCUGCCUGUGCAUAUAUUACACAUUCAGACCAAUCCAUUUUUUAAUGGAUUAGGGGGCAGGGAAUAUGGUCAAUUAUGAUAAAUAUCAAAUUAACAUAUCAUAAGAGAUUGCAAGUUAAGUAUUUGUGGAUAAAUUAGCCUUUUUUCAAUUUUGAAACGGUAAGUAGAAUGAUGGGGUACAGGCAUGUGUUGAUUUUAAUUUAUUGUAGUUCUCAUCUAUUUGAUCUUUAUGCAUUCCUGCAUUCCUGUGUAAACAUGCUAACGGUAUAAAUAAAUGUGUAUAAAUGGGGGCGUAGGUGAAAGUAUAAAAAUGGAAUGAACACAGAGAUGUUAUUAGACAAAAAGGAGCAUGUCUGCCAACAUUGGUGGGUUUCCAGGGGGAAAGGGCUGUAGCUCAGUGGCAAAACAGUUGCUAAGCUCACAAAAGGUCCCAGGUUCCUUUCCUAGUAUUCCUGGUAUCUCCAAGCAAAGCUAGCAAAGUCUCCUGCCUGAGAUCUUGGGGGAAACCACUGUCAUACAUUGUGCUGACCAGCCUUAAGAACAUAAGAGCCUGCUGAUUCAGGCCAAUGCCCCAUCUAAUUCAACAUCCUG